CAGGGAGACAACAAAAUGUUUAAUAUUAUUAUUUUGUCACCUUAGGUCGAUCGGUAUCUCACGUUCUUAAUUUAUUAAGAAUUUCAUUUCCUAAGUUUUUCUAGGUCACACCCAUUAUUUUUCCUGGGCCAUUAGCUCAGGUGGUUAGAGCGCACCCCUGAUAAGGGUGAGGUCCCUGGUUCAAGUCCAGGAUGGCCCAUAUCUCUAUGUUGGGGGUAUAGCUCAGUUGGUAGAGCGCCUGCUUUGCAAGCAGGAUGUCAGCGGUUCGAGUCCGCUUACCUCCACUGAUUACCACCUCUUCCAUAAUUUGUAGAAAGGAAAUCUUUUGAGUUGUGAUCAAAUUCUGAACGAAUCUAGCUUCCUAAUGAAAUUAUUAAGAUGCUGGACUCAUUGAAUUAAAUUCAUUGUUUUCAGAGAACCUUGACAACUGCAUAGAUUAUUUUUAAAGACAAUAAGCAUCUUUAAUGAUGCAGAUUUAUUAUUUGUGCAAAUGCAUUAAUAACAAUUCUAUUAAGCUGAUGCUUCAAUUUUGAAGUUAUU
rnacentral:tRNA from 1 species